GAGUAAUGCCUAGGAAAUUGCCCUGAUGUGGGGGAUAACCAUUGGAAACGAUGGCUAAUACCGCAUGAUGCCUACGGGCCAAAGAGUGCAACCUUCGGGCCUCUCGCGUCAGGAUAUGCCUAGGUGGGAUUAGCUAGUUGGUGAGUUAAGGGCCCACCAAGGCGACGAUCCCUAGCUGGUCUGAGAGGAUGGGGAGCCACACUGGAACUGAGACACGGUCCAGACUCCUACGGGAGGCAGCAGUGGGGAAUAUUGCACAAUGGGCGCAAGCCUGAUGCAGCCAUGCCGCGUGUAUGAAGAAGGCCUUCGGGUUGUAAAGUACUUUCAGUCGUGAGGAAGGGGGCCUCGUUAAUAGCGGCGUUGUUUGACGUUAGCGACAGAAGAAGCACCGGCUAACUCCGUGCCAGCAGCCGCGGUAAUACGGAGGGUGCGAGCGUUAAUCGGAAUUACUGGGCGUAAAGCGCAUGCAGGUGGUUUGUUAGGGGAGAUGUGAAAGCCCGGGGCUCAACCUCGGAAUAGCAUUUGAAACUGGCA
rnacentral:rRNA from 1 species